rnacentral:rRNA from 1 species
GACGAACGCUGGCGGCGUGCUUAACACAUGCAAGUCGAACGGAAAGGCCCUGCUUUUGUGGGGUGCUCGAGUGGCGAACGGGUGAGUAACACGUGAGUAACCUGCCCUUGACUUUGGGAUAACUUCAGGAAACUGGGGCUAAUACCGGAUAGGAGCUCCUGCUGCAAGGUGGGGGUUGGAAAGUUUCGGCGGUUGGGGAUGGACUCGCGGCCUAUCAGCUUGUUGGUGGGGUAGUGGCUUACCAAGGCUUUGACGGGUAGCCGGCCUGAGAGGGUGACCGGCCACAUUGGGACUGAGAUACGGCCCAGACUCCUACGGGAGGCAGCAGUGGGGAAUAUUGCACAAUGGGCGGAAGCCUGAUGCAGCAACGCCGCGUGCGGGAUGACGGCCUUCGGGUUGUAAACCGCUUUCGCCUGUGACGAAGCGUGAGUGACGGUAAUGGGUAAAGAAGCACCGGCUAACUACGUG